GUAAUUAUUAAGUUUUUUUCAGACGCUGAUUGAAAAUUAAAAAGGUUAUAGUUUUGUCCAACCGGCGGGCAAGCCCGCCGAGGAAACAUGAGUGCGCAAAAGACAAGGGUGCAGACAGAGUGCCUGCCGCUCAUCAGUAAUUAAACUAUGCGGGCUUACAGCGCCUCCCGACCAGUAGCAAGCUACUGAAUUUAAUGAUCCUUCCGCAGGUUCACCUACGGAAA
rnacentral:misc_RNA from 1 species